rnacentral:lncRNA from 1 species
AUUUAUAAAAGAAAACCAAAUGCAUUACUCGUUUGAUGAAAUUGGUAACAGUAAUAUUAAUUAUAAUAAUUUUGCAAGUAUAGAAAGGGAGGGUACAUUUUUUUCUAAAAUUAAUAAUAUACAUAGUGGUGAAAGUGAAGAUAAAAAAAUUAAGCUGCAAAAAAAUAUGGAACCAGUCAUUAGUAGUAGCAACAGUAACAGCAACAGCGACAGCGAAAGUGACUACUACAGUGACUACGAAAAAUAUAAUAACCAAAAUCAAAAUAAAAACGAACCGUAUCUAACCAAACUAACCAACCUAGUCCACAAAGAAAACGAAUGCAAAGCAAACAUUAUUGAUAUGAAAAAAAGAAAAAUAUGGAAUACAGUUUUAUUUCUUAAUUCGAUACCCAAUUUAAAUAGUAUGUCUCAUAUAGAUAAAUAUAAUGGCACAUAUAACAAUUUAAAAGAUUCUAGUUUUGAGAAAUAUUAUAUAAAUAAAAAACUAAACACUUAUAUAGCCAAUAUCUUAGAUAUAAAUGAUAAAACAUAUUUAAAAAAAAAUAGUAUUUUUUUAUUGAUAAACGGAAAUGAUAUAAAAUAUAUUGAUAAUGUAAUAGUGUGCUAUAAAAAAAACAUGAAAAAUAACUUUUUUUUUUUUAUUGACGCUUUUGAUCUAAAUCUAAAAUUAGAAUACAAUAAAGUAAAAUAUAAAUAUAUAAAUAAAAAAGGUGAUACUUAUGUAUUCUUAAUAAAAGUUCUAUAUUAUAACAAAACUAUGCACCUGGUAUUAGUAGAUUAUAUGAGGGGUGUCCACGAUCCUAUGAAAUUAGCCAUUCCUUUUUUUUAUUUAACAUCACAUCCCGCUUUUUCUUCAUUUACGCAUUUUAUAAUUAAAGACAAUUUUUUGGGCUGGAUCCACAAUCCGAAUUCCAUACAUAUAAAUAACAUGGCACGCAUAACUAAAUAUUUCAGAGAGUAAUCAAUCGAGUAGAUAUAUAUAUAUAUAUAUAUAUAUAUANNNNNNNNNNNNNNNNNNNNNNNNNNNN